rnacentral:rRNA from 1 species
UACGAAGGGGGGCUAGCGUUGUUCGGAAUUACUGGGCGUAAAGGGCUCGUAGGUGGCCAACUAAGUCAGACGUGAAAUCCCUCGGCUUAACCGGGGAACUGCGUCUGAUACUGGAUGGCUUGAGUUCGGGAGAGGGAUGCGGAAUUCCAGGUGUAGCGGUGAAGUGCGUAGAUAUCUGGAGGAACACCGGUGGCGAAGGCGGCAUCCUGGACCGACACUGACACUGAGGAGCGAAAGCCAGGGGAGCAAACGGG